UUGGCUCUUUCCCAUCUUGCAAGAUGGCGGGCGAAAAAGCUGAGAAGCCGGAUACUAAGGAGAAGAAACCUGAAGCUAAGAAGGCGGAUGCUGGUGGCAAGGCUAAGAAGGGUAACCCCAAGGCUAAAACGCCAAAGAAGGGGAAGCCCCACUGCGGCCGAAACCCUGUACUUGUCGGAGGAAUUGGCAGAUAUUCCCGAUCGGCUAUGUAUUCCAGAAAGGCCAUGUACAAGAGGAAGUAUUCGGCAGCUAAGUCCAGGGUUGAAAAGAAAAAGAAGGAGAAAGCUCUUGCUACUGUCACAAAACCAGCUGGUGGUGACAAGAACGGUGGUACCCGAGUGGUUAAACUUCGCAAAAUGCCUAGGUAUUACCCUACUGAAGAUGUGCCUCGAAAGCUGUUGAGCCACGGCAAAAAACCUUUCAGUCAGCACGUGAGAAAGCCGCGAGCUAGUAUCACCCCCCGGGGCCAUUUUGAUCAUCCUCACUGGGCGCCACAGAGGCAAGAGGGUCGUUUUCCUGAAGCAACUGAGCAGUGGCUUGCUACUUGGGACCGGACCUCUGUCCCUCAAUCGAGUUCCUCUGAGUAGAACACACCAGAAACUCAUCAUUGCUACUUCUACCAAAAUUGAUAUCAGCAGUGUGAAAAUCCCCAAACAUCUCACUGAUGCUUGCUUCAAGAAGAAGCUGCGUAAGCCCAGACGCCAGGAGGGUGAGAUCUUCGACAGUGAGAAAGAGAAAUACGAGAUUACAGAGCAGCGCAAGGUUGAUCAGAAAGCUGUGGACUCGCAAAUUCUGCCAAAAAUCAAAGCUGUUCCUCAGCUUCAGGGCUACCUCCGCUCUGUGUUUUCUCUCACAAAUGGAGUUUACCCUCACAAAUUGGUGUUCUAAAUUUCUUACAAAGAACGUAAUUAAAUAACUGAUCCAUUUCAAAAAAAAA